AUUUAUGAUGACUGUUUUUAACAGUACUUCAUGCAUAGUGUCUGAAAGCAUUUAAUAUUUGUUAUUUUGUGUGAUCUACACAAUUCUGAAA